rnacentral:rRNA from 1 species
CCUACGGGUGGCAGCAGUGGGGAAUAUUGCACAAUGGGGGAAACCCUGAUGCAGCGACGCCGCGUGAGUGAAGAAGCGUUUCGGCGCGUAAAGCUCUGUCAGCGGGGAAGAAACACGGUUCGCGAGAGCCGCGGACGGUACCCGACCAAGAAGCCCCGGCUAACUACGUGCCAGCAGCCGCGGUAAUACGUAGGAUGCGAGCGUUAUCCGGAUUUAUUGGGUUUAAAGGGUGCGUAGGCGGACUGUUAAGUCAGCGGUAAAAGCCCGGGGCUCAACCCCGGCGAGCCGUUGAAACUGGCUGUCUUGAGAUGUCGAGAGGUAUGCGGAAUGCGCAGUGUAGCGGUGAAAUGCUUAGAUAUUGCGCAGAACUCCGAUUGCGAAGGCAGCAUACCGGCGGCGAUCUGACGCUGAGGCACGAAAGCGUGGGUAUCGAACAGGAUUAGAUACCCGUGUAGUC